rnacentral:rRNA from 1 species
UACGAAGGAUGCAAGCGUUACUCGGAAUUACUGGGCGUAAAGCGUGCGUAGGUGGUGAGUUAAGUCUGUCGUGAAAGCCCCGGGCUCAACCUGGGAAUGGCGAUGGAUACUGGCUCGCUAGAGUGCGGUAGAGGAGAGUGGAAUUCCCGGUGUAGCAGUGAAAUGCGUAGAGAUCGGGAGGAACAUCAGUUGCGAAGGCGGCUCUCUGGACCAGCACUGACACUGAGGCACGAAAGCGUGGGGAGCAAACAGG